CUAUGAUAACAAUGCCUUCUUCUGGAAUCCUUCCUACAGGGACCUGCCUGAAGCUCUUUUACAGUUAACGUAUUUUUUUAGCCUUCUGAGCACAGCAUGCACAACAGCCACUUGUGGGUCUAGGAGACAACCCAGUGGAGAUAUGGCUGGUAUUGGAGAAGUGCAAGAACCUGGACACCAGACUGUUGUUAAAAAAAAAAUGCUGCUCUCCUUCCCUGAGUGGGUGGCACUUGUUGAUUGACAAUCGUGGAUGGGAAAGAGGAAUGCUAUUUAUUAAACCUGCUGAAUUCCGAGAAAACUGACAUGAAUCUCAGUUUGCAGAUAGAAAGACUGAGUCUCUGAGUGUGAACAAGCCAACUAAGUUCAUGUCAUUAGCAAAGGAAAGGAGCUCAUAUUUGAAGCCAUCUGUCUGGUUCUAUAACCUAACCUCAUGGCCACCUUGCUGAUUUUUUGUUCUUCUCUUGUUCCUGGGUUGAAUACAUACUUUCUUUCCCUAUUAAUGAAAUCAGGUUCUUUCUUUCAACUAAUUAAGUACUUACUUGGUAAUGGAAGGAAUUAGAAUGAGUAGAAGGUCUCAGAAUCCAUUGCUCUUCUAAGCUAAUGUUGACUGAAACAGACUGAAAAAUGGAAAGAGGGAACAGGAAGAAAAGAGCAAAAGAAGAAACCUGGGAGCUGGAGAAGAGGACGUUUGGGAGGAUGAGCUCAUUGCAAAUGUCUGUUUACGCUUCUAGCUCCCAUGGUAAGGAAAUGAUAAUAAAAAAUGACAACAAUUUUUCCUCAAGUAACUUGUGUGGUAAAAGUGGAAAAAAUAAGG